GCCGUCUCUGCCCGGCUUCCCUGUCACGGUGGCCGAGCCGCUCGCUUCCUUUCCCCACAGGUCGCGGGCCACGGCCUCCUCCUCUACGGAUGAUUGAUUUGGUAUGCCCUGCUCUUGCUCUGAAGAUCACUGCUUGGAUGCUAGUGGAAUCGAUUUCAUUUUGUCCAUGUCAAAAUUAUUAGGACGAGAGGUAAGAUGAGCUUGCGAAUUUCAAGGUGAUUGGGGCUUUGCUAGGCACAAGUGCCAGAUCUUGUUGGAAUCUGUCCAUCUGGUACGAGCUUAGUGAUAGAUUGGCGAAUCAUUGUGUGCAUCGUCUUGUGUUUAAUACUGUAGAACUUUGCACAACUGACUUUUAAAAGAGGAUUUCGACCGAGCAACCGUCACAUGUGAAUCGAAUUUUGUGAUGGGUGGCUAUUGUUAAUUAGUGCGUUCUUGGUCUGUAGAUAUGGACUGCUAGGAGAGGAUGGCUGCUCGUCAGAUAUGCUGCUCAACUUUUGAGAUGACAACAAUACCGGACUUGAUGCGAUGAUAUCUAUGUAAAACAAUCCUGGGCUUUAUGUUUAUGCAAAACAAUUUUGGUUGCACACUGGUUGAUUCUGGAAUCGGACCCCCGUGUGGAGCCUGUACGUCCUAUGUGUUUUUGUAGCUUCUUCACCAAGUCUCGCCAAACAGCAUUAUACAAACUCAUUUCCAGCCUUGGCUAACUCCAAUCCUGUGUGUGUUUGUUUGUUAAUUUACAGUUGUACUGAACUGUAGCAAAGCAGGGGAUCAUUUGUGUGAGUUGUACUGAACCGUGGCAAAGAUGAGCCCUUUGUCUUUUCUUGUUGUAGCUUCAUACAUACACCAUCUUGACCUUAAAGUUAAACUCACUAGUAUAUGCUUUUGCCAAAGCAUUUCUCUUUUACCUUUUUUCAGGGUUUCUCAAGCAAUUAUGUUUUGUUGGUUGCUUAAUUAUGAAGUGGCUAUAGCUAUAUUGGAAAACUCCUAUGCUUCAUCACUUCUUUUUUAUCCAAAAUCUCUGGCACUUAAACUCUGUUUUUCCACAUAAAAACUGUAUGUUAUACACCCACUAUGAUUCUUACUGGAUGCUAUGAACCACUCUCACUCUUGACUUCACUUCCAUUUUGUGCAGUUGGACUGAAGCAUUGAUGACCCUCGAAUCAUAAUUCGGGUUCUCCUUGUUCUUCUAACCACCCUGACAAUGCAACAUCUUGCUCAAAGCUUUUAUUUCUACUUUUCUUUUCUUUUCACACACUCCUUGUGCCAAAGGUGUUGAUGUGAAUGCCGACAAACAAGCCCAAAUUGAUUUGUUUGAUCUUAAGAUAGUUAGUUUUAUCUUAUGGCUCUUUAAAUAGUUUACCAGAUAUUGAUAUACAUGAAAAAAUAUUCUGGACUUGAUGGAUAUGUCCAGCAAGUUCUUUGUGUUUGUACUUUGUAUGUACACUUAGGCUGACACUGGGUGUGGUGGACUGUGUCAUCCUUUGUGUUUUUGUAGCUCAUGUAGAGCAAGUUCCCACACAACAAUAUACAAGAGAAUAUGGAUUUCCGGUGGUACAUUGAGUUGUUUCACUGGUGGCUAGUAAAAUACCACUACAAACAUGUUACAGGCGGAUGUUUUUCCAGGGUUGCCAAGCUGGGUCCCUAGGUUGUUCAGCUUAACAUACGAUGUAAUUCAUCUCUGUAGGAAUCAAUUCAGUUGACGAUUGGUGUAGAUGGCUGCUCUGAUUGGGCACUUGGAAGUUGGGAAACAUGGGUAAAUUUCAAUUUGGCUUUCAAACUGGGGUAUGAUAUAGAUCGUAAUUGCCCAUGUCAUCAUGAUGUUAGUUAAUUUUCAGUGCCAAUUGUUUGCACUUCUCUACUGUGUGAUUAUCAUUUUCCUGGCCCUGUUGUCAGUGCAAUACUUUGAUUCGGUCAAACAGGUUCAGUGUGUGGAUAUUAUUACGUAGUUUCUCUUCAGAUAGAGGUUUAUGCUGUUUCAUUACAAUUCAUGGUGUCUUGUCCUAUCAAAGUAGAGUACUAGCUGCAGGAUUGUGUAAGUUUAACGUCCAUUAACUGUAGUGUAUGUGCACAAUAAAUGGAUAAUUUUCCCUGCAAUCGUGAAAACUUCCGCUUGAUAUGCAUUGCUGCUAUCAUGUGGACAGUGCGGAGAACUUGUAGUGGCACUUGUUUUGACAAUAGGAUGCCUUCUGGUCCCACAAUUGCCAUAUACUCUAUUUGCCAGUGGAUUGAAUGCUGAAAUGAUUUGCAGGAACAAAAGUUGCUCCAGGUCCAGGAUGGUCCCUGACAAGGCGAAAAAACAGAGCAGUUCUAGAUUCAUGAAGAUGGUGGCCUUGGAGGUUUUCUGAAGAGCUAAAGGAUGGAAAACAGUUGGGAUAAAAGUAGCUUUGGUGCCUGCACCGGUAGUAUAUGAUGCUAGCUUUUGCUGUCUUAGCUGCUGGAUUUCGAUGAUUUUGCAAGCUUGAUGUGAUUAUGCAAACUGUUAGGAUCUGAGUCUAAACUCCAGCACCUUUUCUUGCCUUUUUUUUGGCUUUCGUUGUGUUUUUAGUUCAGCAUUGUACUCUGUCAUGUUUCGUUAAUUCAGCUGGGUGCAAGGCCUCUGUAUAAUGAUAAUAAUAAAAUAUAAGAUUUCUUUUUGUAUAAAAAAGAGUUUAUGCUUUCAAUUAUUAUAUUAUCAAUUCUUGCUUCUUCUCAUGCUUUACCGUCAGUAGAUUACUUGACGUUUAAGAGAGCAUUUGAG
rnacentral:lncRNA from 1 species